GCGGCGGCCGGAGCUGGAGGGGGAGGAGGGGAGGAACCUGAUCUCUCCGGUAGCGAAGGGCUGGAGGCAAACACCGAGCUCCCCCAGAGCCGCCCGGGAGCUGGGAGGGCUCCGCUACCCCGAGGGGCCCUCCCCGCGGGCAGAUGAGUUCAAUAUCCAGACUCUCUGAGCUGUGUUUUGGGGUCACACAAGUAUCCCACUUUUCAUGAACUACUGGAUUCAUAACCCAUUCCACACUUGAGAACAUGGGCAUUGAAAUAAGGUUUGCUCAACCUGCUGAGGGUGCAGAGGUGAAUCAGAGGAUGCACUGGUAGAGGGGGAGAUGGACAGGGGUGAAACCGCAAACAGUUUCAGCUCCACAUGGAAUAGAGGACAUGCUAAAACUAGAUGUAAUUUUUUUUCCUGAGGAAUUGCUCCAGCAGGAAUGGGUGUUUCAGAUAUAUCAUUCUGUUACAGAUGGCUACUACACAUGGUUUCUUCUAUCUGAAGUAUAGAGCUGCUAUACCUGGAACUAUGGUGACACUGCAAGAAAAUGGCAAAGUCCUUUGCUCCGCUAGCCUCCAAGCCCCUUCAGGACAGCCCCUGGGGUGCUCACACUCCAGUCCCGGGUUCGGUGUCCUUAAGGAGCGUUCAGCGUCGAGAACUUAGGCGAGAAACGCCGCCGCGCGCGCGCGCCUCAGCUCUCCGCACGGCGUCCGCGAUGCGAGCCCGGGAAAACUGGCCGCCUGGGCCGGCCGCGGCCCCUUUAAGAGCAGACCACGCCCCUCCCCUCCUCUCGGCGCGGCCGGCGGUCGGUGGCGGCAGCUACGGUGCUGACAAGAUGGCGGCUGGCGGGGCUCUCGCUGCAGUCGCUGCAGCGCCUGAGUGCCGGCUUCUGUCCUACGCGCUACACAAGUGGAGCUCCUUCUCCUCCACCUAUCUUCCCGAGAACAUUUUAGUGGAUAAACCAAAUGACCAAUCAUCAAGGUGGUCUUCAGAGAGCAACUAUCCUCCCCAGUACUUGAUUCUGAAGCUUGAAAGACCAGCCAUAGUCCAGAAUAUUACAUUUGGAAAAUAUGAGAAAACUCAUGUCUGCAAUUUGAAGAAAUUUAAAGUGUUUGGUGGAAUGAAUGAAGAGAAUAUGACAGAGCUGUUGUCCAGUGGCUUAAAGAAUGAUUAUAACAAAGAAACAUUUACCUUGAAGCAUAAAAUUGAUGAACAGAUGUUCCCUUGUCGAUUCAUUAAAAUAGUUCCACUCUUAUCCUGGGGACCCAGCUUUAAUUUUAGCAUCUGGUAUGUUGAACUUAGUGGCAUUGAUGAUCCUGAUGUAGUACAGCCCUGUCUCAACUGGUAUAGCAAGUACCGUGAACAGGAAGCCAUUCGCCUUUGCCUAAAACACUUCAGGCAGCACAACUAUACAGAGGCCUUUGAAUCACUGCAAAAGAAAACUAAGAUUGCCCUGGAACAUCCCAUGUUAACAGAUCUGCAUGAUAAACUGGUGUUAAAGGGUGAUUUUGAUGCUUGUGAAGAAUUGAUUGAAAAAGCUGUAAAUGAUGGCUUGUUCAAUCAGUAUAUCAGUCAACAGGAAUAUAAGCCUCGAUGGAGCCAGAUCAUUCCCAAAAGUACCAAAGGUGAUGGAGAAGAUAACCGACCAGGAAUGAGAGGGGGCCAUCAAAUGGUUAUUGAUGUUCAAACAGAGACCGUUUAUUUGUUUGGUGGCUGGGAUGGAACACAGGAUCUUGCUGACUUCUGGGCAUACAGUGUGAAGGAGAACCAGUGGACAUGUAUCUCUAGAGAUACUGAGAAAGAGAAUGGUCCUAGUGCCAGAUCAUGUCAUAAAAUGUGCAUUGACAUUCAGCGAAGGCAAAUCUACACAUUGGGCCGUUAUUUGGAUUCCUCUGUAAGGAACAGCAAAUCUCUGAAAAGUGACUUCUAUCGUUAUGACAUUGACACAAACACAUGGAUGUUACUCAGUGAAGAUACUGCUGCUGAUGGAGGGCCCAAAUUGGUGUUUGAUCAUCAGGUUUGGUGCACAGAUAAAUAUAUGAUGUGUAUGGACUCAGAAAAACAUAUGAUCUACACCUUUGGUGGUAGAAUUUUGACAUGUAAUGGCAGCGUAGAUGACAGCAGAGCCAGUGAACCACAAUUCAGUGGGUUGUUUGCUUUCAACUGUCAGUGUCAAACCUGGAAACUUCUUCGCGAGGACUCCUGUAAUGCUGGGCCUGAGGACAUCCAGUCUCGGAUAGGACACUGCAUGCUAUUCCACUCAAAAAAUCGUUGCUUAUAUGUAUUUGGUGGCCAACGAUCGAAGACCUAUUUGAAUGAUUUCUUUAGUUAUGAUGUGGACUCUGAUCAUGUAGACAUAAUAUCAGAUGGCACCAAGAAAGACUCUGGAAUGGUUCCAAUGACAGGAUUCACACAGAGAGCAACCAUUGAUCCAGAACUGAAUGAAAUACAUGUCUUAUCUGGACUCAGCAAAGACAAAGAAAAGAGGGAAGAAAAUGUCAGAAAUUCAUUCUGGAUUUAUGAUAUCGUGAGGAAUAGUUGGUCUUGUGUCUAUAAGAAUGAUCAAGCUGCAAAGGAUAAUCCAAGUAAAAGUCUUCAGGAGGAAGAACCAUGUCCAAGAUUUGCUCAUCAGCUUGUAUAUGAUGAGUUACACAAGGUUCAUUAUCUUUUUGGUGGGAAUCCAGGAAAAUCUUGCUCUCCAAAGAUGAGAUUAGAUGACUUCUGGUCACUGAAGUUGUGUAGGCCUUCAAAAGAUUACUUACUGAGGCAUUGCAAGUACCUCAUAAGAAAACACAGGUUUGAAGAAAAGGCCCAAAUGGAUCCCCUCAGUGCUCUGAAAUAUUUACAAAAUGAUCUUUAUAUAACUGUGGAUCACUCAGACCCAGAAGAGACAAAAGAGUUUCAGCUCCUAGCUUCAGCUCUAUUCAAAUCUGGUUCAGAUUUUACAACUCUAGGCUUUUCAGAUGUGGAUCACACCUAUGCUCAAAGAACUCAGCUCUUUGACACCUUAGUAAAUUUCUUUCCUGACAGCAUGACUCCUCCUAAAGGCAACCUGGUAGACCUCAUCACACUGUAACUGAAGAGUCACUGGACAAAAAUGGAUAACAGGAGUCUGCUUUCAGUAUUCUGGAUUUCAACUCUAUUGACCGACAAUUAGGCUGCGGCGAUUGAGGACUGCACCAGAAUAUUAAAGGGAUCUUUACUGUCACAAAUUUUAACCCUUUCCUUCAUAACUGACCUUAACCCCCUUUUCUGCAUCCUAUUCUUAAAUUAGGCUAAUAAAGUGAAGUUGAUAUACUUUCCACUUAAAUAUAUAUAUAUUUUUUUCUUUAACUUUUAAGAAUUAAUGAGUGUAAAAGAAAAUAAUCAGGCAGUUUACUCUUUUCUGAUUUUUAUUUCAUUUUUAUAAAAUUGGGGCAAGUAAGCACUAUUAACAGACUCAAUACUAUAAGAAUUGGGAUCUUUUUGGGUUGUUGGUCUGUCUGCUUUCUUCUCCCUUCCCAUUUCACUUGACCUCACACCACACAAGUGCUUAAGUGGUGUCAUUUGUUUACCUCUUCAUUCUUAACAGUAUGUAGUUCUAUAGGGCAAUUGAUGUAUGUUAAGGUGAUACAUGUGUCUGUUGAGUCUUGUAUUACGUUAAACAAUAGGAAGAACAGAGGGCUCAAAUUUGUGCUCCUUGUCAUAGAACUAAAAAAUGAAACCCAAGAUUGAUCCAGGUACUUACCUGAGAUUGGUAUUUAGUAUUUCUAUAGUGGUAUAUUUUAUAAUGGAUAUUACAAUAGCUUUGAGUCUCAGAAACCUUAAACUGAGGAGAAUGUAGUUCAGAACCUUUAAGAGCCAUUAUAAAAAUUACCAGAAGAAGAUUCUAGUAGUGAUUAAUAUGUUCAUUGAUGUCUUUGUAGCAAGUUUGGAAGCAGACCACUUUUUCCUCUGGUAGAGCAGUGCAGAACCCCAGCUUCCAGUUCUUCCUUGUACUCUUUCUGUGGUGUUUUUUCAAUUUGACGGGUGGGUUUCCAGACCUAUGCUUUUGUUUAUUUCCGUACACAUUAGCUCCCUUCAUGUGCUUCUGUAUACAGUUGCUUCAAAGAAUAAUGAUUGGUAGUUGGCAUUUCUUUAAGCACACAGACCAGGCAUCUUUAAAUGAAGGAAAAGAAAAAUAAUGAUGGUGCAAAUAUAUUUUCAUUAUAAAGUAAACAAAGGUAGAUGGGCUUUUACACUGUUCCUUUUUUUUUUUUUUUGUAGGGGUGGAGAUACGUAUCAUUCCAUGAGGUGCUGUGAAAUGCAGUAUAGGAAACCUGUACCUGGCCAGUACUUACAUUUGCUCAAAAAAUGUGCUGUGUGCAGCUGAUACCCACCAUACCUAAAGCAGACUAAGUAUAUAAUAAGUAUCCAUCAAUUCAGUGGUUCUCAUAAGUGAGUGACAUGAUGGAAUUGAGUAUGUUGUCCCUGAGUAGCAAGAUUAGGCCUCACCAAAGAGAAGAAAAAGGCUUGCACUUUCAAAAAGCCUCAUGUAUAGGAAUGGGACUUUGAGGUCCUCUUCAUUCUGUUUAUUGCAUGGUUUCACUUCUGGGGAUGGACAGAAAUAUGUUUUUCCUAACUCUAUAUUUAAAUCUUGGGCUCCUUAGACCUCCAAACAUCCAAAACAGUCAGUAGUGAUUUAUUAAACAAUUAGAUCUGAACCAUAACCUUGUAAAAGAUACUAUGUAGUUCUAUAAGUACCAAAUUAUGUAGCUGUAGAAUAACCAAUUGGUUUUACAGGUGAGCAGAUAGCAUCUAUUAAAAUAUUUACACAGUUUCAUAAAAUGAUUCCCCUGAGUGACAGUCAAGUACAUAAAAUAUUAAUAUCACUAAUAUUGUAGCCUAUUGAAUUUAAUUUUGUGGAAACAGGUCCAAAUCAGAAAGUUGAUAGGGAAGAACUUGAACUUGAUUAGAGUUUUGAAAUUUAAAAGCUCUAGUUUUGCUUAGUGUGAAUUUUGGCACUUUAAAAAUAUUAACCAAAGGACAUUCUGCCUUCCACCGUUUAUUUUUAUAAAAAUUUUGUUCGUCAUUUUUUUCAUUAGCUCCUCAGACCGUAUUUGGAAAAAACUCAUUUCCGAACUAAAAUGAUAUUGUUUGCUUUUGUUUUUCCCUGACUCUGCUAGUUGUUUUUAACAUAUGCUUGUUUUAAUUUCAUUUUUCUUCACUUUAUUAAGUGUAAUUUUUCUCCUUCAUUUCUGGAUUUUUAUUUUCACUAACAUAUUUAAAUGGAGUUGAAUCAUAGUGAACCAUUUAGUGUUGCUUAAGUGAAAUAGACAAUAUUGACAAGGUAUUGGCUAUGUAAGUCAGAAUUUGUACUGUGGACUUUAAUGGGACACUGCUGGUAAUGAUUACAGGAGAAUAUAGGGGUUCAUUAUAUCCAUGACCAAGAUUUACACAUUGUUCAAUCUUUCAUCAGAACCAUGAUUUAAAACUUGUUUAGAUACUUAAUGAGGAGCUACAUAUAUUUCCAAAAAUUCUAGCCAUUCAGUUUAAGUAAACUAAUUUGGUAUUUAGAUGCAUUGUUUAGGUAGCCAAGCUUCUAUGUUUUACUACUUAAAAAUUCUUUCAUUCUAGCUUACUAAGUCCCAGACUGGAAAACAUGGCUGACUCUUUUAGAGGCAUUAAUCCAUGGAGUACAAUGUUCUUAAUUUCAUUAUCCGUGGUUUUAAGUUCAUUCCUAUUUCUCCUUUUCCCAGUGAAAUAUAUUAUUUCAGAAUAAUAAACUAGAUUUCUAACAUUAUUUUCCGUGCUUGUACACAUUAGCUCCCUUCAUGUGCUUCUGUAUACUGUGUGAUACACUGAACAGUCCUCUCUGCAAGAUACUUUUAAAAUACAUUAGCAUUUUAGGGAAAGACAGAGACCUCAUGUGGCCAGCUUGAUUAAUUCAAAUACAUAAAAUCUCUUAUGUAAGAAAGAAAUUCAGACUGGGUGCCUAACUCUUGUGCUAAAGCUGAUAGACAGUAUUAUCCUGUAGCAAGAUCAUCUUUUUAAACCUGGUUUUCAUUUAUACUGAAUCUGACCUGUCCAUGUCUAAUAAGUAAAAAUAGACAGUACUAGAAAGUUAACACUGGUUUAUCAUGGGAAGGCUUGUUGGGUUUAGGCUCAGUGAUUAGUUUAAGAUUAUAAAACUGCAUUCUUUAUUGGAAUACAGAUACUGAAUAUAAAUGGUUGCCAGCUUAUCCUUCCAGUGGAUCUCUUCACAUCUGCCUUAAAAGUGCUUUUUUGAGGUACAUUAACAGAUUUUCAUGUAAUAAAGGAAAAUUUAAAGUCUAACCUACAAACAAAAACUAGUUUGAGGCACUUAAUCAUUUAGUGAAAGAUUGAGAAUGAUGUUUAGUUGGUCAAAAAGUAUUUAGGAGUAUGUUCCUGACUUUAGUCUCUGAAUUAUACUGUUUCCUGGUAAUUACAUUAAGAAGUCACUUAUAAUUACUCUUAAUACCAUAUGAAAUACAUUGGGUAAUUGUGGGUUAUUCUGUUAUUUCCUGAGUGAAUGUUGUGUUAACUCUUUAGCUAGUUGAAUGUUGCAAAGCAGUUGAGAAUUAGGGUUUGAAGUGAUUUGUAUGGGAGGGGAUUAUUACAAUGUGUACUCUGAGGAUUUACCUUCCUUUUUAUAGCUCUUUUAGCUAUAAAAAAACAUACCCUUCCUAACCCUUCUUUUCUUAAAAAAUCCAUGUUCAUCUGCAAUUUCAUCCUUUUGUAAAAAUUCUGGCCUGAAUUUUCAGUUUUAAAUUACAGGAGUCCUUGAUCUGGGAUAUGAAGGUUACCUAAGAAAAAGUUUGUAGUUACUGGAGGAGCAUCAGAGAAUCUGCACAUGACAGUGCUUGUAAAUUAGAUCUUUGGGCCCUUUCACUCAAAGAUUGCUAUGUUCUUUAAUAGAUAACAUUAUUCUUUUGUGGUUUUUGACUGUGGCCUGUUACCUUCCUGCAAUUUGUAAUAAUGCUUGCUAAAAUGCCUUGGCUAUCCAAAUUCUAGUCUAGAGGUAUUUUAGUUGAAGGUGGAAGUUUCCGAGUUGUUUGUUGAAACAAUUAAUUAGGAACCUGCUAGAUCAGCUGAAUGACGACGUUGCCAUCAUUUGUUUUGGCAGGGAAAACUAAUUAUUUCAGUUUAUUGAUUUAACUAAAUGUUCUUUUUAUUUUUCUCAAAAAAUACGAUUUUAAAGAUUUUAUUUAGAUGUGAUCUUUUAACUUUAACUUCCUCCUACUCACCAAAUACUGUGAAUUGUGUCUCCGGCAUUUUUCUUAGCUAGCCUGACUUGAUUCUUGGCUUUUUAAGCCCUAUACUUCAUAGGUUUUCUGUGGCAUUGCAUAUGAGUGUCAUACUGCCUGAGGAAAAAAAAGCCAAAAUCAUUCUGAGACAGACGUGCUCUUUUAUCUUUGUUUAUGACAACAGAGUAGUGAAAUAUAAAAUUUUACUUCAUUAAAGAAUAACUUCAGAUAUUGCUAUAAAAAUACUUGAAUCAUUUCAUUUGGGGGAUAGUAAUAUGGCUACGGCAGCUCAGUCAUUUUUGGCUUCUUUUCCUGGCACUAGGAAGUACCAUCAUAGAACUGUUGAUAAGAUACAAGUUUCAUAGGAGAGCUCAUGGAAUUCAGCACAUCUCCAGAUUUCCAUGCCUACUGCCUUGUCUUGUCUUUGUAUUUUGUAGCUUUUCUCCACCCCACCCCUCCCCAACCUCUGUAGUACUGAUUUUUCUGCUUAAGUUGGAAUUUGUGUUAAGAAUUGAUGAAGUAUUAGGAAUACCUUAGAGUGCUAUGAAAUAACUGUUACUUGUCUAUUUUUUUCUUAGAUAAGGUAGCACAUAAUGAUGAAAUGAUUUACCUUCCUUUUUAUCUGCUUUUCAAACAGUCCCAAUGAACUGUUAAAUAUUUGUGAGCAAUAUCCUGUUUUGCCUGUCUGUGGCAUUUUCACUUGGAGGUAUUAAGCCUCAGGAAGAGAGUAGAAAGGAAAAUGGAGAUAUGUUAGAGAAGGAAAAAUAGGGCCUUCUGCUCAUGGAUAUGAAGGGCCGCAAGUCUAAAUGAAAAAGAAGCUCUUCAUUCGUAACCUUAUGUUAAAUUUAUUAAUGCACUGCUGGGAAGAAGGCUGUCUAAAGGGAUCAAAGCUGAGGUAAUCUGAAGUCUUUGGAAAGCAGCAUUUCUUAGUUAGUUGCUUUUCUCACCUUCUCUCUAAAUAGGUGUUAAGAGAUCUUGAAACAGAAAACCCAGUAUAAUCGGCUCUAGAUCUUAAACGAGGUGAGCAGUUUCUUAUGUGCAGCCAGUUCCUUGAUAAGGUUCCAGAGGGAAAAGUGACAAACAUUGUAACAUGCAGUUUGGGGGCUCCCACGGAACUUGCUUUCUCAUGGCUUUUGAGCUCUUGCUGUAACACAGCUCUAUACCAUCUGGGUUGCUAGCAUUCACAGCAACUAGUUUGGAUAUCUGAGCUGUCUGCCACAUGAAUACCAGCCUGAGAUGAUCAUUCUUCAGUUUUGUUCAGUGCUUAAUUAAUGCCAGAUUAAUUGGCAGGAAGAGAAAACACUGUGUGAUACACUGAACAGUCCUCUCUGCAUGAUUAAGGAGUUGCUCAAGAGGCCAAUUUUGAGGUGUAUUUUUCUCCUUUUUUAACGAAUGUCAAGAAAGCCUUUAUUACAGUUUAGCUAGUGUCAUUUGGCUGGUGUUCAUUUCCCAGUCUUUUACAAUAGGAAGACAAUUGUCAUUUCAUGUUAAUUUAUAACCUGUACACAAUUGAACUGACAUCAGUUUAGUGUACAUGUUUUAAAAUUAAUUAAUUAUGCAUAAUCCCAAGGGUCUCUGCUUAUUUUGCUUUGCUAAGAAAUACAUAAGUUCUGUACUUGGCAUUGAAAGUACUUAGUAAUUUUGGUUUAUUCUUUAGGUUUUCUCCACAUCUGUAAAUUGAUUAAUUAUAUUAGAGAAGGUAUCUAGAAUAAGUCCAGUUCCAUUGCAGCAGGCAGAUCUUUAUAAAUUCCUUUUGCAACAAAGGAGGGGAUUUUAUACCAUCAACGCUAUGCCAUCAGAUGUUUACAAGUGACUCUUUUAGCAUGUUGCCUUGUAGUUGCUGUAUUUACCGUCUUAAGAUGAAGGGGGGAAAGCACAAGAACAGAAAUGCAUGGCUUUUUUUAAUUGCUGUGGCUUUUUUUAAUUGCUGACUUUAGAAGUCCUAGGGUACUUCCGUCUUUGUAAAGGCUUAGCUUAAUUUUACAUACACACAUUAGUUAUAUUUGUAAGAGCACUGAGUACAAAGGUAUAAGGUGUACUAAAGUAAUUGUCUAACCAACCUCAAAUUUGAUAGUAGGUUAUCAAAGUCCAAAAGUUUAAAUAUGUAGUCUUCAGUAGGGAAGAUAAAUGUUUUAAAAAGUCAUGCACUUGGUCUCCUUUUUGAGAUUUUUUUUCCUUUCCCAGAAAAAUGAUUUUGAUGCCUGACCAGUUGUAAACUAUUUUCUCCCUCAGUUAUAAACCACUCAUUUAGGGAAAUAAAAGUGGACUUCCUUUCUUAAGCAUUACAUUUAGCUGUGCCAAGAAAUGCUAUGAUUGUGUUGUUCUUUAAGCCAGCUUGCUUUUUUGACUUGUGCAAUGUGUCUUUUGAAAUAAAUAAAUUGCAUAGUAUUAGUUUUCCUUUAUGUAUAGUCUUCAACUCAAUUCAGAAAUUGCAAAAUAAUGUGAUUUUUCUAUGAGCAGAUAUAUAUACAUUUUAUUCUUUCUUUCCCUGUCACCACUUCAGAAAUACUUGUAGAGUUGAGACUGCAGCCUCGGAAGAGUAUGGGAAAGCUAAGGACUUCUUUUUCUUGUCUUGGCCUUGAUAACAUUCUGUCUUUCCAAAAUAGCAUAUUUAUAUACAAGAAACUUGCAAACGAUGUUAGAACUUUUUUUAAGUCUAGUGUUUUGUUUCUUUUUAUAAACUAGAAGUAUUCAGUGGCCAGAAAUUAAGGUCCCUUUAAUAUAGUUGGACUAGAAAUUAGAUUGAGAAGCCAAUAGAAUCUGUCUUCCCAGUCUGCUUAGUAAUGCUGUGGAUAGCUCCUUCUGUUUCUUAGAAUAUCUCCUGGACUGGAAAGAUAGGGACAGCAACCAGCUUAUCUGAAAGUUAGAGACCAUUAAAUAUCAUUUAUGGGACUUGUAAGUGAUAACAUUUAUUGAUUUUUGUGAUUAUAAAAGUAUGCUUAUCAUAGAAAUAGGUACUAAGUGUAAAGAAGGCAAACCACUAUUAAUCAAUUGAUGAGACUUACUCACUUAGUUUCUCCUGACUACCUUCUGUUACCCAAUGUGGUAAAGCCCAGAAAAUUAAGAGAAAAAAAACUGACACAGCCAUUCUCAUUGUCUUUUACCACUUGUGGAGGACCAGGGUACAAGCAUUGUCCCAACCCUUACUUACAUUCCUUUAAGCAUUGCUGUUAGUCUGAAAAUAAUUCUGUUGAUACGUAUGUUUUCAGCGUGAACUGUGAAUGUAAGAUAUUACCCAGAACCUAUAGGGAAUUGUCUUGUUUAGGUCUUUGGAAAUUUCAUCUCUGACUCACUUGAAUUUUCAAGCCCUUUAUGCACCAUUAUGGACAUUUGGAGCACAUUCAUACCCAGGAGGAGCUUUCUGUUUAGAUGGACUUUUAGUAUGAGUAAACCCAUACCCAAAAAAGAUGAGGUACUUUUCAAAGGCCAAAGGAAAAGCAGAGAAGAGCAAAGAAAGGGCAAAACAGAUUAAAGGAAUCCUUGAUAUAAGUUCCCUUACCAUGCUUAGCAAAUGUCUCUCCAAAGUAUGUAUUCUCUGCUUACCAGCUAAGAUUCAGAAGCUAUGUAUUUCAUAUGAGACUGCUCCUCCGUGGCAUCAUGGAAUUAGGGCUUGUAUGCUCAAGUACCUAAAUCAGAAGUGGGCAUGAGGGAACUCUGGAAUAGCUGGCAUGAGCUAGUUGGAGCUUGUUAGCAUAAGUGCUUUUUAGGCAUCAGAUCUCUUCCAGCGUAACUGUUCUAAGUGAUUGUUUGGCUAGACUGAGUGUUCUGUAGCCUUCCCCAGUUGCCUUGUGAUCCUCUCUGGUUUAUCUUACUUUUGUCCAAUCUUUUGGACUUUUAAAGGACUUUGUUUUAGUACAACUAAUUUCCUGAUCCCAGGUUUGGUUAAUGUGUUAACACUGCUUUGUGAAUAAAUAAGUAAAAGAGUGAUCUGAACAACUACAAUUGUAGAAUUAUGUUGUAUGUAAUGUACAUAUGAAGAAAGAAUGUAUUUUGUUCAUUUUCUUAAUAAAAAGUUAUAUAUGGACACGACACGAUGUCCCGUUUCCUAAAACUCUUUAGAAGUCAGCUUUUAAACUGUUUGUAUUUUAUUAUUACAUUUUUUUUUUCCUCAAAAAGGUAAGUUUUAUUCAGGCUUACAAAGGUGGACAAUAGUGACACACAAUAGAGGGGCCUUUGAGAAUGAUGAGAUAAAGUAGUUCUGGUGGAUCUCACAAAGUUUCCGGGGGAAGUUUUUAUUUUUAAAGAACACUGACAAAUUAUUUCAAACAAUGUUUAUUGUUAUUGACCAUCCUUACAUCUGUUGUGUAAAUUUUGACUUGUGUUUCCCAGGUUUUCUUUAAGGGGGACACAAUUGUCUUCUACUUAGGAACUAGUCGAGAAAAACUGAACUGAAAUAGAAAAUUAAUUGUAGAAAAAAUAAUAGAGAGAACCUGGAGAGGUUGCAGAGUUUAGAAAAAUUCUGGAUCCCUGUCUUCAGUAAGGGGGAUAGAAACCUUGAGGGCUGAACCUUGAAAAGAAUUAUCUCAGAAAUAUGCCAGAGAUAAUGGAUUGUUAGAGUUGUCUGAGCUCCGCACAUUGACUCAGUAAUGGUUACUGCCCCUUUCGUCUCCUGACCUGGUUUCCAUUUUCUUGGCUUUGUGAUCCCACACUCUACAGUAAGUUAAUGGUCAGCUGAUCCUAUUCAAAAUAGGGAUUAUGCUUUCUUAAUUUACCAAAAAAAAAAAAUACAUCAAAUAAUCCAUUUGACUGCAUAGCUUUUAUUUCUAGAGCACUUUUGAGUGUGGCUAAGUAACAUUUCUUUGUUUUCAAAACAGGAAAACAUGAUAUGCAGUGAUAAGGUAAGCAGUUGGCCUUUCCUUGGUUAAUCCUCCAGAGAAUUUAAAGGAUGGAAAUGAGACACUACCUCCUCUCCAUAGAUAUAUUUGUCUUCUAGUGUGAAAACAGCAACAAGCAGAGGUCUUUGCGUUCAACAGUUGAGAUGCCAGCUGCUCCCAUGUCAUGUUCAGUGAGUGUGGAGAUCUACUGGGAUUGGAAGUGCUACAUAAGAACUUCUCUUACCCAAGGACAUAAUUCAACCUCUAAUGGGGAAAUGGCCAUGUGCGCUCAUACUCACACACUUAGAAGACAGCCAAUCUACAGAGAUUGAAAAAAAUAUUUUCCCUGAAAAUGAGGGCAAUGUUUCUUAUCACUAAUCCUUCCAAUUCUGAAGGUAUUGAGGGGAAAGGCUAACUGAUGGCUCACCUGAAGCCUAUGCUAGCCCUGGCACAGGCUUAAAUACUAGUUGGUUGUUUCUUUGCUUUACUGCCCCAUAUUUUGCUAUGUCUUUUGCCUUUCACAUGUCCUGGAAGAAAAGGAAGAGCAGCGUAGAGACCUGGGGCUUUCUGUGGCAUAGGGAAGGUGAGACAGUAGAGAAUGGUGCUUGUAACUGUUCUGUCAUUUUAGUCUGAAGCUUCUCUAAUAUUCACAGGGGGGUGGUUAUGAACCCUGCUGCUGGGCUCUCACCUGGAAAGAGCAAAGGCAGUGUUAGAUCCUUUCCAGAAACAUUAUUACAGGGAAGAAAGGAAAGUAUAGGUAGAAGAGUCCUGUCAACUGCUGUGCUGGUGAUUUUUGAUGGUCGGCAAAACCCAGGCUGGGGUGACAGACACUUGACAUGUCUGUGGCACACCUCCUUCCUGAGCUUGGGCCAUCGGACAGGUAGCCCAGAGCGGUAGUCAGUAAUCCCAGGUUCAUUUCCAGGUCCACUGCUGACUUCCGUAUAGCACAGGGCACAGUCUCAACUUCUCUGCCUUACUUUCUCCAUUUCUUACGUGAAUAUUGGCAGCAGAUCCUGUUUGCUAGGAUCCCAUUGACUUUUUAAUCUAUAAAAUGCAAAGUUUUAAAAAAAAAUACUAACUCUCGGUAUUUAUCACAUGUUCUAAUUAUAGUAGUCACUAUUUACUUUUUUCCCUUGGAGUACGUUAGAAAUGUGGUUUGGGAGGGAGUCUGUAGGAUGGGGGAGAUUGUAAGUGACAAAGGCAUAACGAAUUAAAAGUGACAACUCAAAAGAGUGCCUCUUGGUUGGCUGGGCAGGAACAGGGUGAAUGACUUAUUCAGGAAGAGAAUGGAGUCUUAGGUCUAAUUUGUGGCCAGCGAUAAACUAUGAGUCAAGCAUGGCCAGGGGCCUGCCUGAGUUCCUGGUACUUGUACUCCUUUCUGUAUCCCUGACACACUCUUGAAGUUAACCUCAAAAGACCCCUGGCCCAUCCUUAAGGGUGUUAACUACCUUUCAGAACUUCUAUAUAAAAGGAAAAUCAUUGUUACAGUAGUUGGAUUCAAAAUGUACUUUGUUGUUGGAACUCAAGCAUUAAUGUGGUAUUGGAAAAAGAAUGUAGGAUUGGAGACAAAAGAUAUACAUCAAGGCCUACUACUACCAUCUAAAUAGCUGUGUAACCUCAAAGAGAAUACUUAACCUCUGUACCAAAUUUCCCUACUAGUAGAAUGGUGGCAACUACUAAAUAAGGUAUGUAAAAAUGCUUUGUAGACUUUAAGAUGCUAGGCAAACAGAAGACAUUGUUACCUUGUAACUAUGAAUGGACCAGGUUCACCUGCCAGUUUCCCUUCUGCAAGUUAGGAAUAAUUUUUCCCCUCCCAAUGAUAAAACAUAUAGGUACAUAGAUAAUACCAAAAAUGAAUCAGAACCAUCUUUGUUGUUCCUGAAUCUCCUUCAUCUUCACUACAUCUCUAGAUAAGGAACAGGCAUAGGUUUCUUGUGACAAGUAAAUGGAUCGUUUUCAGGGGCAGGAACAGGGCCAGAACAGAACUGCUUUAUUUUUUAAAUUUUCAUUUGUUUUGUCUCUCUGCCAGCGUUUUUAUACCUGAUCGUGGUUCAGCGGUUCCACUGAGGUCUUUUACUGGUGGUUGAUUCACAAUCAUGUCUGAAGCAGAAGGAAGACUGCAGAUUCCUCUUUUACUCUGUGGCCCUGCAGAAUUAGGGCCACAUUACUAAGAGCAGAGGUUGCUGAACUCAUGCAAGUAUCUGACGUCCUCAGGUGCUUCAGUGAUGAGCCUCGUGCACAAGAGAAGAACGUAAGCCAAUCAGAGCAAAAUACUAGGGCUCGUACCAGCUUACACAAAAGCGCUUUAAUUGACAGUGUACAAUUUUCCAAAAUAUAUUUUUGUAAGAAAA